AUGUCCAUGGUUCCUCACACCAUGCUGCGCCCGUUCGGCGUAAACCCGUGCGCCGCGGGUGGCCAUCUCAGACGGCAUCAUGCCCGGCUGUGCCUCCACCGUGCGAACUCGGUCGAUGCGACGACCGUGAAUUUGCCGGGCGGUAGCAGCAGCAACAGGAGGAGGAAGAAGCAGGCCGCGGAGGAGUCGCGGCUGGAGGUUCUUUAUGACGACGGGUUCGGGAGCGUCACCAUGAAGGACUACUGGGAGGCGGUGAGGGCCAUGCCCAAGGACGACGGCGGGCCGCCGCGGUGGUUCUGCCCAGUGGAGUGCGGCCGGCCGGAGGUGGACAGGGCGCCGCUGCUGCUUUUCUUGCCAGGAACCGAUGGUGUUGGAAUGGAGCUCAUUUUGCACCACCAAUCUUUGGGCAAACUAUUUGAGGUUUGCUGCUUCCAUAUACCAGUAAAUGACCGUACACCAUUUGAAGGGUUGUUACAAAUUGUGGAAGAAUAUGUCAAAUAUGAGAGUGCUUUGUCACCAAGCAGACCAAUAUAUAUUGUUGGAGAUUCUUUUGGUGGAUGUCUUGCAAUUUCAGUUGCAGCUCGCAAUCCAGAAAUCGAUUUGGUUCUUACACUAGUAAAUCCAGCAACAUCAUCAGCAAAAACUUCGUUGCAGGCAGUAUUGCCUCUUUUGGAAACGAUGCCAAGCAACCUCCCAGUUGUCCAGCCCCACCUUCUCAGAUAUUUAAUUGGUAACCCUCUUAAUGGGGCUAUGGUUAGUGUUCGGAAUGGUCUUUCCCCUCAAGAAACUCUACAAGAGUUUUCAAACAGUCUCGCUUCAAUGCUACCUUUAGUUUCAGAACUAGGAGAUAUAAUACAAAUGGGCACUCUCGUGUGGAAACUUAAGCUUCUCAAGUCAGGUGCAAACUAUGCCAACUCUCAACUUCAUGCGGUACAAGCAGAAGUACUACUUCUUGCAAGUGGCAUUGCGAAUCUGCCGCCAAGUGGAGAAGCAGACCGCCUGUUUAAGACACUGAAAAAUUCUAAACUUCGAUACUUUAGGAACCGGGGUGAUAGACUACUCAUGGAGGAUGGCUUCAAUUUGCUAACUGUCAUUAAAGGAGUAAACAUGUACCGUCGUGGUAGACAACGGGACUUCGUGAACGAUUUCCUCUCACCUACAUUAAGUGAAUUCAAGAAAACAUUUGGUGAAGAUUUCAAAUUGUUUAAUCAGGUAUUGAGCCCAGUUAUGCUCUCUACAUUGAAAAAUGGAAAUAUUGUUCGUGGCCUUGCCGGUGUUCCUGACAAAGGUCCUGUCUUGUUUGUGGGCUAUCACCAACUCUUAGCCAUGGAGGUGCCUGCACUAGUUGAAGCGUUCCUGAGAGAGAAAAAAACAAUUCUCAGAGCAGCAGCCCAUCAAGUAUUUUUUGUCGGAAAUUAUGAGAUACUGCGUCAGGAGUUGUCUCUGUUUGAUUGGUUCUCUGCGUUCGGCGCGGUUCCAGUCAGUCCAAUCAAUACGUACAAGAUGUUUGAGAGAAAUGAAUUUGUUCUUCUUUAUCCAGGCGGUGUGCGGGAAGCUCUACAUAGGAAGGGUGAGGCAUACAAAUUGUUUUGGCCAGAUCAACCAGAAUUUGUAAGAAUGGCAGCACGGUUUGGAGUUACCGUCGUACCAUUUGGUUGUGUGGGAGAAGAUGACUUUGUGGAGAUAGUUCUAGACUACAAUGAUCAAAAGAACAUACCCUAUCUCAAAGACGCGAUAAAGUCAUUCAAUGAAGAUUUUAAAGGACUAAUAAGGGACACGGUGAAAGGAGAUGAUGGGAAUCAAGUCUUGCAUCUACCCGCUGUUCUCCCAAAGGUACCAGGUCGGCUAUACUUCCUCUUCGGCAAGCCAAUCGAGAUGAAAGGAAUGGACAGUGUGCUGACGGAUAGGAAGAAGGCAAACGAAGUAUAUUCCCAAAUCGAAUCGGAAGUGGAGAAUGUAGUGUCUUACCUCAAGAUGAAGAGAAACGAAGAUCCUUAUCGGAGUAUUACGCGACGCGCCUUUUACCAGGCAACUCAGGGUCCUUCUAUUCAAGUGCCGACUUUUGAGCCGUGA
rnacentral:rRNA from 1 species